rnacentral:rRNA from 1 species
CUGGUUGAUCCUGCCAGUAGUAUAUGCUUGUCCCAAAGGCUAAGCCAUGCAUGUGAUCAGUGCAGUCCUUGUACGACGAAACUGCGAAUGGCUCAUUAAAACAGUUAUCGUUUAUUUGGUAAUCAUCUACUACAAGGAUAACUGUAGUAAUUCUAGAGCUAAUACUUGCGUUUUCCCGACUUCUCGGAAGGGAUUGCAUUUAUUAGAUACAAGCCAAUCGGUGGUUUACCAUCGUUAUAUGGUGAUUCAUAAUAACUAAGCGAAUCGCAUGGGCUCGCCCGGCGAUAGACCUUUCAAGUUUCUGAACUAUCAGCUAUUGACGGUAGGGUAUUGGCCUACCGUGGCUAUGACGGUUAACGGGGAAUCAGGGUUCGACUCCGGAGAGGGAGCCUGAGAAACGGCUACCACAUCUAAGGAUGGCAGCAGGCGCGCAAAUUACCCAAUCCUGACACAGGGAGGUAGUGACAAGAAAUAACAAUACAGGGCUUUACAGUCUUGUAAUUGGAAUGAGUAGAUUUUAAAUCUCUCUACGAGUAACAAUUGGAGGGCAAGUCUGGU